rnacentral:misc_RNA from 1 species
GAUGAAGAACGCAGUGAAAUGCGAUAAGUAAUGUGAAUUGCAGAAUUCCGUGAAUCAUCGAAUCUUUGAACGCACAUUGCGCCCCCUGGUAUUCCGGGGGGCAUGCCUGUCCGAGCGUCAUUGCAACCCUCAAGCGCGGCUUGUGUGUUGGGCUUCGUCCCCCCGUGGACGUGCCCGAAAGGCAGUGGCGGCGUCCCGAAUGGUGCCCGAGCGUAUGGGAACUCUCUUCCGCUCGAACCGGCCCAUUCGGCGCUGGUCGAACCCCAAUUUUUUUUUACCGGUUGACCUCGGAUCAGGUAGGGAUACCCGCUGAACUUAAGCAUAUCAAUAACGGAGGA